UACAGAGGGUGCGAGCGUUGUCCGGAAUCACUGGGCGUAAAGGGCGCGUAGGCGGCUCAUGAAGGCUGUGGUGAAAGUCCGGGGCUCAACCUCGGAUCGGCCGUGGCGACUCGUGGGCUGGAGCACUGUAGAGGCGGGUGGAAUUCCGGGUGUAGCGGUGGAAUGCGUAGAGAUCCGGAAGAACACCGGUGGCGAAGGCGGCCUGCUGGGCGUAUGGCUGACACUGAGGCGCGACAGCGUGGGGAGCAAACAGG
rnacentral:rRNA from 1 species